GAUGAACGCUGCGGCGUGCCUAAUACAUGCAAGUCGAGCGAACAGACGAGGAGCUUGCUUCUCUGACGUUAGCGGCGGACGGGUGAGUAACCCGUGGAUAACCUACCUAUAAGACUGGGAUAACUUCGGGAAACCGGAGCUAAUACCGGAUAAUAUAUUUAACCGCAUGGUUUCAUAGUGAAAGACGGUUUUGCUGUCACUUAUAGAUGGAUCCGCGCCGCAUUAGCUAGUUGGUAAGGUAACGGCUUACCAAGGCGACGAUGCGUAGCCGACCUGAGAGGGUGAUCGGCCACACUGGAACUGAGACACGGUCCAGACUCCUACGGGAGGCAGCAGUAGGGAAUCUUCCACAAUGGGCGAAAACCUGACGGAGCAACGCCGCGUGAGUGAUGAAGGUCUUCGGAUCGUAAAACUCUGUUAUUAGGGAAGAACAAAUGUGUAAGUAACUAUGCACGUCUUGACGGUACCUAAUCAGAAAGCCACGGCUAACUACGUG
rnacentral:rRNA from 1 species